UACGGGAGGCAGCAGUGGGGGAUAUUGCGCAAUGGGGGAAACCCUGACGCAGCAACGCCGCGUGGAGGAUGACGGUUUUCGGAUUGUAAACUCCUUUUAUGGGGGACGAACUAAGACGGUACCCCAUGAAUAAGCUCCGGCUAACUACGUGCCAGCAGCCGCGGUAAU
rnacentral:rRNA from 1 species